GGUAAAGCUAUGGCUUGAUAAUGUAUGGAGCAGGCGACCAGGUGGACUUAUUCAAAAAUGUAGUCUACUGGUGUGGGAUAUGUUUAGGGCUCAUUUAACUCCCAGCACUAAGCAAAGGCUUGCAAGACUAAACACAGAUACGGCAGUUAUUCCUGCAGGAUUGACAUCGUUGGUACAGCCACUGGAUGUGUGCCUAAACAAGCCAUUUAAAGAUCGCAUUCGAGAACAGUGGAAUGAAUGGAUGGUUAGCGGCGAAAAGUCAUUCACAAAAGGAGGAAACAUGCGUGCUCCACAGUUGGAUGUUUUGUGCAAGUUUGUCAUAAAAGCCUGGAAUGAUAUUGAUGCAGAAACAGUAAUCAAGUCUUUCAAGAAGUGUGGCAUAUCAAAUUCAUUAGAUGGUAUGGAGGACGACUACUUGUGGCAAGAUGAAGAGGAAGCCGAAGCUGAGACCACACCAUCUGAUACACCAUCUGAUACAGAAUUCGAUCCA
rnacentral:lncRNA from 1 species